rnacentral:rRNA from 1 species
CCCUUAGAUGUUCUGGGCCGCACGCGUGCUACACUGAGUGGAUCAGCGGGUCAGGUUGCGCGAAAGUGUUUCCUAAUCUUUAAAUCCGCUCGUGAUGGGGAUUGACGGUUGCAAUUUUCCGUCAUGAACGAGGAAUACCUUGUAAGCGCGGGUCAUCAUCCCGCGCUGAAUACGUCCCUGCCCUUUGUACACACCGCCCGUCGCUCCUACCGAUUGAGUGGUCCGGUGAGGCUUUGGGAUCUGUGCGGAAAGAGCGUUUCGCUGUUUCUGCCCGGAAAACUCAGUCGAACCUUAUCAUUUAGAGGAAGGAGAAGUCGUAACA